GAACAGCUGACGUCAGUACCAUUCUAGUUCACCCUAAGAGUCGGGAUAUUAUCUUGCACACCCCAUCAUAUCUCCUCGUGGACUAUCGCACAUUACUCCUAGAAGCUAUCUCUCAAGACACCAAGUUUGCCGAAAGAGUUUCACAGCCGUUGGUGUAAGGCAAAUGAAGAGCAAAUUAUACAAAUUAAAGCUA